rnacentral:rRNA from 1 species
CCCUACGGGAGGCUGCAGUGGGGAAUCUUGCGCAAUGGGGGCAACCCUGACGCAGCCAUGCCGCGUGAAUGAUGAAGGCCUUAGGGUUGUAAAGUUCUUUUGCCCGUGACGAUGAUGACGGUAACGGGAGAAUAAGCUCCGGCUAACUUCGUGCCAGCAGCCGCGGUAAUACGAAGGGGGCUAGCGUUGUUCGGAAUUACUGGGCGUAAAGCGCGCGCAGGCGGUUCGAUAAGUUAGGGGUGAAAUCCCCGGGCUCAACCCGGGAAUGGCCUUUAAGACUGUCGAGCUAGAGGACGAGAGAGGUGAGUGGAAUUCCCAGUGUAGAGGUGAAAUUCGUAGAUAUUGGGAAGAACACCGGUGGCGAAGGCGGCUCACUGGCUCGUUUCUGACGCUGAGGCGCGAAAGCGUGGGGAGCAAACAGGAUUAGAUACCCGUGUAGUC